UUUUGACGCUGUAAUUUUACUUCACAUGCUUUUCUUUCCUACCUUCUGAAUUGUGGCCGUGGAAGAUGGGUGGGGUGAGGAAUAAGAAUUCCUGCCAAACGCACUAGCACCUCCAUCGCUCACCUUUUUUUUACAGGAUCCAGCGCCCAUUGAAGUAAAAUUUUGCCCGCUCCCACCUUCAGCCGAUGUAAUUUAUCGUUUUGGUAUAUAUGCGUGGACGGUUAUUCUUUUAGUCGUGGGUUCGUGGCGUUUCUAAUUGCAGGCGGUAGCGGCCGGAGGUCUCGGCGGCGAGCGGCCGCAGCGCGGAGGAGCGUGGUGUCCUUCGGCGGCGAUUCCACCGAUCCCCUUCGCCUCCGGUGGCUGAUUAGGUGUCGGCUUCCUGAUGGGAACACGGAUCUGUCCACAGAGUUUUUGCAGAGGCUGUAGAUAGAAGAGAUCAUGAGGCUGAACAUCCUGUCCAAUCAGGAACACCCUGAUUUUUGCACAGAGAUGGGUGGUCAUGGAUUCAAAGAAGGCGGAGUAGUCAUGUAGUGUCGCUGGUGUUUCUCGGUUUCAGGUUAUGUUUGGCCAUUGGCAUGCAUAUUGAUGCGCCAUGCAUCUCCUUUCAUCAUGAUGGUCAGCGACCGGGUCUUCGCCGCCGGAGCUGUUCAGUAUCACCUACUCUCGGGUGAAGCUCGGCGAGAGAGGCCCUAUAGUUUACAAAUAUUCGUGGAGCUCUCACAGUGGCAGACAGAGAGAGGAGCUACUCCAGCAUUGCACGGCUGACAGCAAGUGACUAAUGCCCUAAUCUUGUUGUGUAAAUUAAUGCAACUAGCGUUAACUUGUAGAGCAUCAUGUUGUUAGAAUAGUUCUAAGGUCACCGUGUGAUUUCGUUUACAUUUUUGCUUGCUUGCCGGUGUACCAAACAAGAUGCAAGAUGGCAUAUAAUGUAUUUUUACAUUGAAUCAUGGAUGGUGCAUUGGUGACAUUUUCUUUA